UGGUUCACCGCUGCGAGGAUGAAAAGGGAAGCCGGUGAGAAUCCGGCACAGGGCCGCUGCUGUAUUCGGCGAGAGGCACAAGUAAAAAGCCACUGCGACACGUGUUGCGGGAAGGCGGCUUGAGCCUCGCAAAGAGCCGUAAGUCAGAAGACCUGCCUGUAGGU
rnacentral:ncRNA from 1 species